CUCAGAAUGAUCCUUGUCUGGACUCAGGCAGCUCCACAAAACCCCUGUUUUCAGAAGAAAAAAAAAAAAAUCAGGAUUUGGUAUGUGGCCUGAGGCCUCUGCUGGGGAGCAAGCAGCUCCCAGCUGCCUGUGGCUGAUGCAAUCGGAGCGGAGAGAAAUGAUUCACUUUGACUCCGCCAGCCACCCCGGGACUUCGGCCAGCAACAGCAAAGACAGCUGAAAGAUGUCUUUGAGAAGUAAUGGAGACAAGGGGAGGUGACUCGGAGGUACCAGAAUGCUGUCCAGGAGGCUGCCAGAGAAGUGGCUUCUUGUUUGUCAGCAAGAGUUUGUGGUAAGGAGGUCUGCGAAGCUUUCUCCCACAGCACCGGGGACUAAACAGAACAAAUAAAACCUCUAUUUGUUCAUCACUA